UCCGAGUUGACCCCGGCAGUCUCUCACGAGUCCCCGCCAUAACGCGCUGGCAACAUGAGACAAGGGUUGCGCUCGUUGCGGGACUUAACCCAACAUCUCACGACACGAGCUGACGACAGCCAUGCACCACCUGCACACAGGCCACAAGGGAACCGACAUCUCUGCCGGCGUCCUGUGCAUGUCAAACCCAGGUAAGGUUCUUCGCGUUGCGUCGAAUUAAACCACAUGCUCCACCGCUUGUGCAGGCCCCCGUCAAUUUCUUUGAGUUUUAACCUUGCGGCCGUACUCCCCAGGCGGAUAACUUAAUGCGUUAGCUGCGCCACCGAAAGCCUAAGGCCCCCGACACCUCCCACACCUAGCACCCAUCGUUUACGGCGUGGACUAC
rnacentral:misc_RNA from 1 species